rnacentral:rRNA from 1 species
UGGGGAAUCUUAGACAAUGGGGGAAACCCUGAUCUAGCCAUGCCGCGUGAGUGACGAAGGCCUUAGGGUCGUAAAGCUCUUUCGCCAGGGAUGAUAAUGACAGUACCUGGUAAAGAAACCCCGGCUAACUCCGUGCCAGCAGCCGCGGUAACACGGAGGGGGUUAGCGUUGUUCGGAAUUACUGGGCGUAAAGCGCACGUAGGCGGUUCGUUAAGUCGACUGUGAAAGCCCAUGGCUCAACCAUGGAAGUGCAGUCGAUACUGGCAGACUGGAGUCCCGGAGAGGGUGGUAGAAUUCCCAGUGUAGAGGUGAAAUUCGUAGAUAUUGGGAGGAAUACCGGUGGCGAAGGCGACCACCUGGACGGGUACUGACGCUGAGACGCGAAAGCGUGGGGAGCAAACAGGAUUAGAUACCCGUGUAGUCC